rnacentral:rRNA from 1 species
CCCGGGCGACCGGCGCACGGGUGAGUAACGCGUAUGCAACCUGCCCGUUUCAGCGGGAUAACCCGGAGAAAUCCGGCCUAAUACCGCAUGUGGCCGAGGGGAGGCAUCUUCUUUCGGCCAAAGGAGGCAACUCCGGAGACGGAUGGGCAUGCGUGACAUUAGCUUGUUGGCGGGGUAACGGCCCACCAAGGCGACGAUGUCUAGGGGUUCUGAGAGGAAGGUCCCCCACACUGGUACUGAGACACGGACCAGACUCCUACGGAAGGCAGCAG